rnacentral:misc_RNA from 1 species
UUGCAGUCAGAUUUAGAUAAUUGUUAUCCAAUGAAUUGUUAUAAUUAUUUGUAGUAUUUAUUUGUACUUUAGUUUUUAUUCUUUCUUAUUAUUUAUUCAGCAAAUGUAACUGUAAUAUUAUUUAAUUUAUAUGUUCAUAUCAUAUUUUUUGUGUCUAUUGUUAAUUUGAUAAGUUUCAUGAAAUGCAAUACAUGUAUGUUAUUCAGUCAUAUUAUGUACAUUUACCUUAUUUAUUACUUGUUGUGCAGUCUUGGCAAUGGUAUAUGUUAAUAAUACUAGUUAUGGUUUCAUGUGCUAUAUUUAUAUGUUAUAUACAAAGGCCUGUAAUCUUCCAAUUGUUAAAACUAUGUGCCAAAUGCUGAAUACAGUUAUAACAAAG